CCUACGGGAGGCAGCAGUGAGGAAUAUUGGUCAAUGGGCGCGAGCCUGAACCAGCCAAGCAGCGUGAAUGAUGACUGCCCUACGUGUUGUAAACUCCUUUUAUAAAGGAAUAAAGUGCGGCACGUGUGCCUUUUUGUAUGUACUUUAUGAAUAAGGCUCGGCUAACUCCGUGUCAGCAGCCGCGGUAAUCCGGAGGAUCCGAGCGUUAUCCGGAUUUAUUGGGUUUAAAGGGAGCGUAGAUGGGUUGUUAAGUCAGUUGUGAAAGGUUGGGGCUUAACCGUGAAAUUGCAAUUGAUACUGGCAGUCUUGAGUACAGGUGAGGUAGGCGGAAUUCGUGGUGUAGCGGUGAAAUGCUUAGAUAUCACGAAGAACUCCGAUUGCGAAGGCAGCUUACUAAACUGCAACUGACAUUGAUGCUCGAAAGUGUGGGUAUCAAACAGGAUUAGAUACCCUAGUAGUC
rnacentral:rRNA from 1 species